UGGGCGAAAGCCUGAUCCAGCCAUGCCGCGUGUGUGAAGAAGGCCUUUUGGUUGUAAAGCACUUUAAGCGAGGAGGAGGCUACCGAGAUUAAUACUCUUGGAUAGUGGACGUUACUCGCAGAAUAAGCACCGGCUAACUCUGUGCCAGCAGCCGCGGUAAUACAGAGGGUGCGAGCGUUAAUCGGAUUUACUGGGCGUAAAGCGUGCGUAGGCGGCUUCUUAAGUCGGAUGUGAAAUCCCUGAGCUUAACUUAGGAAUUGCAUUCGAUACUGGGAAGCUAGAGUAUGGGAGAGGAUGGUAGAAUUCCAGGUGUAGCGGUGAAAUGCGUAGAGAUCUGGAGGAAUACCGAUGGCGAAGGCAGCCAUCUGGCCUAAUACUGACGCUGAGGUACGAAAGCAUGGGGAGCAAACAGGAUUAGAUACCCUGGUAGUCCAUGCCGUAAACGAUGUCUACUAGCCGUUGGGGCCUUUGAGGCUUUAGUGGCGCAGCUAACGCGGUAAGUA
rnacentral:rRNA from 1 species